UACGUAGGGGGCAAGCGUUGUCCGGAAUUACUGGGCGUAAAGCGCACGCAGGCGGAAUUGUAAGUCCGUUGUAAAAUUCAGAGGCUCAACCUCUGUCUGUCGGCGGAUACUGCAAAUCUAGAGUAUGUGAGAGGGAAGUGGAAUUCCUGGUGUAGCGGUGAAAUGCGUAGAUAUCAGGAGGAACUCCGGUGGCGAAGGCGACUUCCUGGCACAAGACUGACGCUCAUGUGCGAAAGCUAGGGUAGCGAACGGGAUUAGAUACCCCGGUA
rnacentral:rRNA from 1 species